CCCGAUAGCUCAGCUGGUAGAGCGCCUGCCCGGUAUGCGGAGGGUUGCCGGUUCGAUUUCUGCUCGCGGA
rnacentral:tRNA from 1 species